GUGGGAUCGUGCUCGGAUACUGGGCGUAAGGGCGCGUAGGCGGAUCGUUAAGUCAGAGGUGAAAUCCCAGGGCUCAACCCUGGAACUGCCUUUGAUACUGGCGAUCUUGAGUAUGAGAGAGGUAUGUGGAACUCCGAGUGUAGAGGUGAAAUUCGUAGAUAUUCGGAAGAACACCAGUGGCGAAGGCGACAUACUGGCUCAUUACUGACGCUGAGGCGCGAAAGCGUGGGGAGCAAACAGGAUUAGAUACCCUGGUAGUCCACGCCGUAAACGAUGAUUGCUAGUUGUCGGGCUGCAUGCAGUUCGGUGACGCAGCUAACGCAUUAAGCAAUCCGCCUGGGGAGUACGGUCGCAAGAUUAAAACUCAAAGGAAUUGACG
rnacentral:rRNA from 1 species